UGCAGAAUCCCGUGAACCAUCGAGUCUUUGAACGCAAGUUGCGCCCGAAGCCAUCAGGCCGAGGGCACGUCUGCCUGGGUGUCA
rnacentral:rRNA from 1 species